GAACGCUAGCGACAGGCUAACACAUGCAAGUCGAGGGUACAGGGUAGCAAUACCGCUGACGACCGGCGGCACGGGUGAGUAACGCGUAUGCAACCUGCCUAUAAACUGGGGAAUAGCUCCCUGAAAGGGGAAUUAACACCGCAUAACACUAUUGAUUCGCAUGGAUUGGUAGUUAAAUGUAGCGAUACAGGUUAUAGAUGGGCAUGCGUGACAUUAGCUAGUUGGUGAGGUAACGGCUCACCAAGGCUACGAUGUCUAGGGGUUCUGAGAGGAAGGUCCCCCACACUGGUACUGAGACACGGACCAGACUCCUACGGGAGGCAGCAGUGAGGAAUAUUGGUCAAUGGGCGCAAGCCUGAACCAGCCAUGUCGCGUGCAGGAAGAACCUGCCCUAUGGGUUGUAAACUGCUUUUAUAGUAGAAGAAACACAUCUACGUGUAGAUGUCUGCCAGUAUACUAUGAAUAAGCAUCGGCUAACUCCGUGCCAGCCGCGGC
rnacentral:rRNA from 1 species